AAUCAACGCUGGCGGCGUGCCUCAGACAUGCAAGUCGAACGAUUAAAGCUCUCUUCGGAGAGUGCAUAAAGUGGCGCACGGGUGAGUAACACGUAAGUAAUCUACCUUCGAGUGGGGAAUAACGUCCGGAAACGGACGCUAAUACCGCAUAAUGCAGCGGCAUCGCAAGAUGACAGUUGUUAAAGGAGCAAUUCGCUUGAAGAGGAGCUUGCGGCAGAUUAGCUUGUUGGUAAGGUAACGGCUUACCAAGGCUACGAUCUGUAACCGGUCUAAGAGGACGGUCGGUCACACUGACACUGAAUAACGGGUCAGACUCCUACGGGAGGCAGCAGUCGGGAAUUUUGGGCAAUGGGGGAAACCCUGACCCAGCAACGCCGCGUGAAGGAUGAAGUAUUUCGGUAUGUAAACUUCGAAAGAAUAGGAAGAAUUAAUGACGGUACUAUUUAUAAGGUCCGGCUAACUACGUGCCAGCCGCCGCCGUAAUAC
rnacentral:rRNA from 1 species